rnacentral:rRNA from 1 species
CACCCAACAGCUAGCCCCACAUCCAAAAACAACAAAUCAUUAUUAAUAACCCCAAAUACACAUAUACUCACAAAACAAACCAUUUUUCCUCCCAAGUAUGGGCGACAGAAAAGGAGUCAAGGAGCAAUAGAAAAAGUACCGCAAGGGAACGCUGAAAGAGAAAUGAAAUAAACCAGUAAAGUUCUAAGAAAGCAGAGAUUAACACUCGUACCUUUUGCAUCAUGUUUUAGCCAGUAACUUCCAAGCAAAGAGCACUUUAGUUUGCAUUCCCGAAACUAAGUGAGCUACUCCAAGACAGCCUGUUAACAGGGCUAACCCGUCUCUGUGGCAAAAGAGUGGGAAGAGCUUCGAGUAGAGGUGACAGACCUAUCGAACUUAGUUAUAGCUGGUUGCCUGGGAACUGAAUAGAAGUUUAGCCUCCUGGCUUCUUUCCUCACUUUUGCUUCAGCUUCUUCUGACACAAAGAAACCAAGAGAGUUAAUUAAAGGGGGUACAGCCCCUUUAAAUAAAGACACAACUUUUUCAUGACGGGUAAAGAUCAUAAUAGCUUAAGGCAUAAUGGUUAAGUGGGCCUAAAAGCAGCCAUCUAGUAGAAAGCGUUAAAGCUCAGAUAUUCACUUCAUCCUUCAAUUCCGAUAAACUUAUCUUAAACCCCUGAAAUCACUAGGCCAUCUCAUGCACACAUGAGAACGAUCCUGCUAAUAUGAGUAAUAAGAGAGUACGUCUCUCUCCUCGCACAAGUGUAAAUCGGAACAGACCUUCCACCGAACAUUACCGGCCUCAAAUAAAGAGAGCAUUGAGUAACAAACAAAAUAACUAGAAAAUCACUCAACAACUAACCGUUAACCCCACACUGGUGUGCCCCUAAGGAAAGACUAAAAGAAAAAGAAGGAACUCGGCAAACACAAGCCUCGCCUGUUUACCAAAAACAUCGCCUCUUGCAAAAAUAAAGAAUAAGAGGUCCCGCCUGCCCUGUGACAAGUUGUUUAACGGCCGCGGUAUUUUGACCGUGCAAAGGUAGCGCAAUCACUUGUCUUUUAAAUGAAGACCUGUAUGAAUGGCACAACGAGGGCUUAACUGUCUCCUUUUUCAAGUCAAUGAAAUUGAUCUUCCCGUGCAGAAGCGGGAAUACUUCCAUAAGACGAGAAGACCCUAUGGAGCUUUAGACACCAAGCAGAUCUUGUUAAAUGUGCCCAAACACGGACUUAAACCAAAAGAACCCUGCCCUAAUGUCUUUGGUUGGGGCGACCGCGGGGAAACAAACAACCCCCAUGUGGACUGAGAAAACCCCUCUUACAAGCACGAGUCACAACUCUCACUAACAGAACUUCUGACCCUAAGAUCCGGCAAUGCCGAUCAACGGACCGAGUUACCCUAGGGAUAACAGCGCAAUCCUCUUUUAGAGCCCCUAUCGACAAGAGGGUUUACGACCUCGAUGUUGGAUCAGGACAUCCUAAUGGUGCAACCGCUUUUAAGGGUUCGUUUGUUCAACGAUUAAAGUCCU